rnacentral:rRNA from 1 species
UACGUAGGGUGCAAGCGUUGUCCGGAAUUAUUGGGCGUAAAGAGCUCGUAGGCGGCUUGUCGCGUCGGCUGUGAAAACUCGGGGCUCAACCCCGAGCCUGCAGUCGAUACGGGCAGGCUAGAGUCCGGCAGGGGAGACUGGAAUUCCCGGUGUAGCGGUGGAAUGCGCAGAUAUCGGGAGGAACACCCGUGGCGAAGGCGGGUCCCUGGGACGGUACUGACGCUGAGACGCGAAAGCGUGGGGAGCGAACAGG